rnacentral:ncRNA from 1 species
AAGGCCCUGUCUCUCCGAAGUCCUAAGUUCCACUUAGGAUACUGAUGUAGGAGAGGCGGGGCCUU